GUCCUCUCCCCCAAACUCGCCGGCGCCAGGGGGACGCAGGACGCUUGAGUCCCUUCGCGCCCCCAGCGCCGUCGGCGCCGCCCCGCCACAGACACGGCCUCAGAGGCCUCAAAGGGGCGGCGGUCCGGGCGGCCACCCGGGGCCACCUAGCCCCUUGCCCUGAGCGCCCUCACCUUCGUCCCCAGAAGCCCAGGAUUCCUCUUGGGAAGACGCAGGAGGACGGCGCGGUUGUGAAAGGUAGGUGAGCCGCUCCCCGCUCUUGCUUUCGCUGCUGGGGGCCGCAACCACGCAGAUCAGAGCUGCGGUGUUUAAAAAAAAAAAAAAAAAAAAAAAAAAAACCCUCUCCAGGCUGGGCGGCCCCCGACCAGGCUUCCAGGACUGACCGUGGCGAGCGUGGGCUACUCCGGGCCACAACCUAACCUUGAGCUCCAGACCGACCAGGUUCCUGGGUGGGGCCUCGAGCGCCCACCCAGAACGCCUUGGCCUCUCCACUCGCUCACGCCUUCCUCUCUCACUCCAAGCGGAGGUGUGUGCGUGGGGGCGAGCGGGGCGCCCCUCCUCGCUCUACCCGCUACUCUGGCUCCCCAGGGCCCGGUGCUGCUCAAUCUCAGGCCUUCUGCGCCGGUUCUUCCCGCCCCCAACCGCGGUAGUGGGAGAGGCAGGGUCCAGCGGCCCAGGGGGGUGGAGACGCUUGAAGAGGAAAAAAGGCCGUUUUCUGGAUAAAAAUUAGAAAUUUCUGUUUGGAACUCUGGGCCCAGACAUGAGCCCCCAGGUCCCGAGGUGUAAAAUCAGCUCUCUCUAGCUGCCCUCUGGAACAGGGGAAGAAUUCUCAGGGAAGUUUUUGCUUCACUUUUGGGGGCGGCAAGGGGACCUAGGUUUCCUUCCUCUUCUGAACUGCGAUGGGCCUCCGGUGGCCUCCUGCCCGGGAAAGCGUGCAUCUGAUUCUCUAGGGGUGCCAGGCGCCGCCAUCUUACUUGAAACUCACACUCACAAAAACACCGUGUGUGCAUUUUUGUAGAGUGGCCUGUUGUUUAUGGGAGUGGGCAGAAGGCAGGAAAAGGGUCUCAAUCUUUAUGAACCAGCUAUUGGGUCAAUACAAAAAUUAUUCCCUUUUGAAGAAAGGUGUGGAUCUUGUGAGUAUUGUGUGGUCUCAGAGGAAUUAGCUGCAGGAGUCGAUGAGGAAUCUUAUAUGACAGCAACUCCUCUCAUCGUGUAAAGAUUGAUGAUUCACGGCUGGGGUUGUGGCUCUGUGGUAGAGCACUCACCUAGCAUGGGUGAGGCACUGGGUUCGGUCCUCAGCACCACAUAAAGAUAAAUAAAUAAAGGUAUUGUGUCCAUCUACAACCAAAACAUAUUUUAAAAAAAGAUUGACGAUUUACCCAAACAUGCAAAAGAGACAAAAUUGUGUGCUUCCAAUUGUGUUGUGCUCUAUAAUAAAGGUAAUAGGUAAGAAACGUGCACCCUCUCUCCAAAGUAAGACAAUACAUAGUACCUUUCAGGUACUCCAUACAUGCUAAAUUUGGCAGUGUACUGCAUAGGGCUGUGCUCAGGAUAAAUAGAAGUACAAAGACUCAUAAUGGAGAAGGUGGGUUCUCUGAGUGAAAGUUCCUGUUUCUCAGUGAACUUCCCUGACCCUUUGAGGAAAAGAUGCUGAAGCUUUUCCUGCACACUUUGGGGCUGCUGCUCCUUCCUUUCCCUAGAGUCUGAACCAGUCCGCUUGGAUCCAAGUCCAGAUACACCCCUACCCCCUCCAGCCUAAUUGGGAUGAAACAACCUCCACUCCUAACCAGAUAGCCCUUGACUCCCCAGGAGGAGAGCUGCCUGCCCUGUGCUAUAAUUUAGAACCACUACCCUAACACAACACACACACACACACACACACACACACGUACACACUGCCCCAAAAACAAAUGCAAGGAAAAACUUAACAAGCCCCAGGUAGGGUAUUGUGGGAAGAUUUCUGAGGAUCUCUUUGGAUCCUUGCUCUACCACAGUACAAUUUGAAAGACCCACUACUACAAAUGGCUGUCAGUUCUACCUUUGCAUCACCUCAAAAGGCAAUGAACCCAUGUAAGAAGCAUCCUUAGGGAGUGUCCUUUGGGAUGGGAACUUUGUCUCCUACUCAGCCCACCUCCAACUUUUGUUCUUCCUAUUAAAACAAACAUAAGCCUUCAAAUGCUUUUGGGUUAGAAAGAGUGUUUCAUUAUUUUAAUCUAUUAGAAUUCUCUCUCAUUUUCACCUUCCUCAUCUCUCUCUUACUCAUAGGUUUUGUCUUCUCUUUUUCUCCAAACUCUGGAAGUCAGAAAAUGCAUGACUUCUGGGCUUGAAGGAAAGGGAUGGCAAGGGAAAGGAGGAGAUAUUUGGUCCAUUCAGGCAGUACCCAAACAAUGAUUGGAACCAAAUUAUCAUAUUGGAGCCUGCUCUCUGAGAUUUACAGGCUAUUUAAUUCCACAAUACCUCUUUCCACUCCAAGAUCCAAAAGCAUCUUAUUCUUCAAGAGGAACUAAAGGUUUGGGGCUUCUUUAGUUUUCAAAAAUGAGAGAAGAAAAAAAUCACUAGUUAUUUAGGUGGCUAGAAGUAGAGGGAGUCUGUAGUUUGGUCAGGAGGUCUGGGCACACAGAGAAAGGAGUCUGGGGGUAGAGGGAAGGAGGGUUGAGGCAAGGCCUGACACCAACUGAGCAACUAUGUAAGGCAGGCUUUGUUCUGAACUUGCUGGUGGGGAACCUUGAGCUCUUCACUGCUAGAGGUGAAAUCAGAUACUAGAAGCCCAGGUCCCUCUCCUAUCUAACUGCUCCAAGCCCCCCCACCAAAUCCACUCUGGGCCAAAAAUAAAGAAUAUUUUAAAGAAAAGGGCAGAAGCCCUGAUUAAGCACUCAGACUCAUUCUGAAAGCAAUAAAGAAAAUCUUUAUCCAUCAGUGUGGCAAUGUGGAUAGGAUCAGCUUGAGUUUCAGAGUUUGAGGGUCCUGAACUCAAUGGAGUUAGACAGCAGGGCUAACCUCCUUUCCCCAUGCCCGAUUUUGCUCACACCCCCUCCCCAGGGCUUCUCAGAAAGUGACAUCUAGCUCUUUUUUUUUUUUUUUUUUUUUUUGGUAGAAUUGUGAAAUCACACAAUUUCAGAGGGACUCAGAUUCCUUAAACCUUAGGUUAAGAUCUAUUAGGAUUGAUCAGAGAAAUAUGUGCCUGGAAGAGAGUAAAACCAAAUAUGGUCAGUAGAGUGUAGAUCUUCCCUUUUCCCCUCUUCAGUUGAUAUCUUCAUCCUAACCAGGUCAACCUUUAGCUUAAAAACACCCAGGUGGCAAUGUGUCCCUCCCUACCUUUGACUGUAAAUCAAAGGGAAAAAAUACCCAGAGCCUAAAAGUUGGAUCUGAAAUACAAUGCCUUCUUUCUUGGGAAGAUACCAAGUUGCCACCCUGAUCCUAUUUUCCAUCCUUACCUCUCCACAGGCUAUGAGAACAGCCUUUACCUUGCAGGGAUAAUUAAUGCCAAAGCAUCCCCACUAGCUGGUCAUCCAUCUUGGGGCCCUCUGAGUCUCUUCCAUUCUCACCCCUCUCCCUCCCUCUCUCUCCCUCUCUCUCUCUCUCUCUCUCUCUCUCUCUCUCUCUCUCUCUCUCUCUCUCUCUGUAUUUUAUUUAGAGACCGGGUCUCACUGAGUUGCUUAGAGCCUUGGCCAUUGCUGAGACUGGCUUUGAACUUACCACCCUUCUCUUUUGAAGUAUUUCUAGACUACUGUUUAAGGUAGAAUCUCAGCCAGAGUGGAGGAGGGGACCUUAAUUCACAAUAAUCUGGAUAUUAGUAAUAAUAAUGACAAAACAUGACCAGGAGAGGCUAGGGGUAUAGCUCAGUUGUCCAUACUGCAGGAGGCCCUGGGUUCAUUCCCAGCAUCACAAAACGAACAAACAACAAAAAUCCAUGAAAUGGCAAGCCUCACCCACCCAGAAAAGUUACCCUUGAAUGGUCCUCAGGGAGGGCGCUGAGGUGCAGACCAGCAAGGCCAGAACGCAGAAAACUUCCCUAUGGAGAGAGAAAUCAAUGGCCAGAUACCUCACUCCUUAAAAACAAUAAAAGGGAGCGGGCCCAAAUUUCUACUCGUUAAAACUCUUACCUCUUUUUCAAUACGACUCCGAGGUGAACCAGAGGAAACAUAGGUCCUGCAGCAACCUUCUCCCUGCUGGUCUUCCCCUGAGAGCUAAGAGGCCCCUGCUUUGCUGUUCCUGACAGCGUCACUGCUGUGGGACCAGGUCUCACGCAGGUAGAGUAGUCCAGGUAGAGUAGUCGGGGAAGUCGGAAGUCUUAAUGAGGUAUUGGAGACCUCUGCACCCCUCCACAGCAGUCUUCGGAACAGCUUGGUACUGCGCAGAACCAACGCAAGUCCUUAGUCUAGAUUCCCCUGCGCAGGCUUCCAUGGCGCACCCCGACGGCGCGCACCCGCAGUGCUUCCCUCUGGGGCUCUGUACCUUCGCCUCUGGCUGGGCUGGGCACAGAGUGAUCUCUGUGCAAGCCGCUGGCCCCCUUUCAGACUGCAUCUCUACUGUGGGCAUCAUGACUGCAAAGGACAGGGAGGUGCAGAAGCUGCAGUGUUGGAGCAGGAGAAGGGUCAGGGGCUCUCUGGAAUUCUGUGCUCCUCCGGCCCAGGCCUCCAUAACGCAGUUGCCGCAGCGGCGGAAUCUGGAGGCCUUGAGUCCCAGAAUUUAGGGGAGGAUGCCUAACAGAAGGAUUAGAAAAGAGGUUUUCAAAUCCGGCCUUGGUCGCAAAGCAGCACCUAAGGGGCAAAGGGAGAUCGCAGUUAACACAGAUGCGCCCUCAAGUCCCACAAAGCCAAAAGCCUGAAAGACCCACAACUUCUACUGUAUGGGAUGGGAGGAAAUGAACUGGGAUCGGAAGGCUCAGUCCAGACAUCAGCUCAAGGAGAGCCUAUAAACGCGACCUAGCGCCUCGCCCCAAGCGGGAUCUUGACCGCGCGGACAGAGCAAUAGAGAGAGAUCCGACUUAACCCUAGGGCGGAGCGUCAUGCGGGGCUCCCUCGCCUGUAACGAGUGAGCAAGAUCUUCACGAUCAUCUGCCCAGAGGGGAGUGGGUCCUAGUGCCUGGAUCUCAGCGCUCCAAAAUAUAUCUGCUGCCCCCAAAGAACAGUUCACUUGCUCUCUCCAGGCCGCCGGCGCCAGCGUCGCUCGCCCCAUUCUCCAGUUGUGUGUUUUUUUCCUCUCCGGAUUCUACCUUCCUCCUCAUCAUUAACAAACGAUCUAACGAAACACCCCCAGGUCCCUGGCAGAGGGGUACCUUUAUCCCCGAGCCAGCCAAUUAAUCAGAACAUUAAGGAGCCCGAGAAGUUGUAAUGGGGCGGUUUGGAACGAGGGGGCGCUGAGGAGGUGUCUUUAACCUCCCGGUAAGGAUGGGAAACAGAGGCGCGCCUGGCCGCCUCUGCCGCCCCUCUGAGCCCUUCUCAGCACCCGGGUUUUGACUGCUCCACCUGCUCAUAGCGCUCCAGCUCUCUCUUCCUGACCAGCUAUUUAAUUUCUCUUUGUAUUUCUCCAUCUUUUCUCUGCCGGUCGUCGAGGAUCACUUUCUUUGUACCUACUUCUAUCUACCUACUUCUAUCUACCAGCUGUCUCUUGUGCCCUUUUCAGGCCCCAACGAGGGGAGGGCCAAAAGAACUCAAAGUUUACAGGAGGCGGCCCCACUGGCGGUCUCCGCUCCUUAGUCCAGAGUGAGCUCCUUAGACUUGGCUGUAACUGUGGUAGCUGGACACCGGAAAAAAUAUUUCCUCUUGAAGGGGAGGGCCUUUUUGAGGAGGGAAAUGUUUCCUGAAACAUUCAGUAUGGACCAGCUUAAGACACGGCAGCACAUUGCAGGAGAAGGUACAGGCCCUAGUGGAGCAAAUUCUGUAUCAUUUUGAUUAGAGACACAGCUUACAUACUCCUUCUCCAUGAAGCAACUGUGCAUGAAGUGGGCAUUGGAUAUUGUGGGCUGCCUUGCCUUAGUCCUAGAGAUUUCAGCAUAUUUGAUCAGAUGCCUGAUAUUUCAGGCAAGACCAGGUGACAGUAUCUACCUGACCUUUGUGCACAUGAUUGUCCUGUCUUUUAAUUUGUCUUUUUAGGCACCAAGUCCAGUUCACUCUCCUCCCUCUGAUUCACAUUUUUGAGUGCUUAUAUGUGAAUGGUUGAUGAGAAGUUCUUAUCAUUUUAAAUAUCACCCACUGAUAUUUUGAAAUUUGAUGAAAAAUACUGAUCUAUCCAGGGGAAAGAUGCACUUUAUUAUACUUGCCAAACCCACCAUUUCAGAGGGUUUUAGUCUCCUCAGAGCCUAAGUUAAGAAUUCCUAUUUGGAAUGAUCAAAGGAGCUGGUGUUCAGAAAAUGCCACAGUGUCACUUUUUCCCUUUGACUGUUGCCUCUGUGUUCUCCAGGCCAACCUUCACCUUUCAAAACAUUCAGGUGGCAAUGAUACCCACUAUUGCCAGUAAGGUCCAGACUUGGGGGGGGGGGCGGUCAGUGUUUCUUUCCAGACACCAGGGAGCUGGUGACAGUAGGAAGAGUUUUACUGGGGAAAGUUGAUCUUGGACUGGCUAUGGGUGGGACCAGGUUUGGGCAGCCUCCCAGCUGCUAAAAAACUCUAUUGGGACUCUACUGGAGAGAGACGGGUAUCCAGAGACAACCCCAUAGCUAAUGUUCUGAGCCAAGAAAGCAAAAUGGGGAUCAGAUGAGGCAAUAGAAUGUUCUUUUGUGUCCCUUAUUGAUCUAUCUGUUCAGUUUCCUCAGGUAUUCCAACUAGGCAUGGGAACUGAGGAAUUAAACCAAGGUUUGAGGCUGGGGAAUAUAAAACUCUGUGCUGGAAGGGGGAGGAUUUGCUCCUAAAUACUUUUAUAAUCUUUAUAAACAGCCAAACAGUAUAUUUAUAACAGCCAAACAGUAUGUAAUCUCUGACAGUCCUGGAGAUCUCCCAGUUUUACCCAGCUUCAAGUGUUGUAGUUUAUUUCCAUAUAGAAGUUGAGUUAGCUUUUCUUGCCUAGCCUAGUAAAAUGAUAUGAGUUGACCAAGCCAGAUCUUCCAGAAGAAAAGCUAGGCUUUUUUGGAGUCUGGGAAGUAAACAAAUUUUUUUCUAGGACUAUGUUCAGACAUAUUAAGGAAACCAGAAUUAUCUGGUCAAUUUUACCUUCCCCUGCACACACAUAUACACACCAUGCCCCGGCUCUCCUGGCUGUUCCUCAAUUACCUACACAUUUUGAAUAAAGGUGACUUGGAGCAGAUAAGGCUCCAACCAUUUCCGAUUGCCCCUCUUUGAACUGGCACAAAGACCACCUACCAGCCCACCUAUAGCCCUGGUCUGUGACAAGAAGCCAAUAGUAUUCAAACCCCUGCCUGAAGAUAAAGAGAAAAAAAUAAACAAUUUUCUGCUUGGGGCAGCUUAAACUGAAUAAUCCUGGCUGUGAAAACCUGACCUAAAUGCUUUUAAUCAGAGCAGAAGGAAUAUAUGCCCAUUUGCUCUCUACUUUACUAAUUAAAGAAAGCUAAUUAAUGUUUUCAGGAACUUCCAACUGAGGGUCAGGAGCCUCUAGUCAUCUUUCCACCCCUCCUUGCUCCCCUACACCCCACCCUUACUCCCACAGGGCUGUCUCCACUGUGGAGUUGGCCUCUUUCUGACAGACAAUGUGGGGGGCUCCCCUGACCCUUGGGCUCCACCCCUGCACCAGGACUUUGGCCCUGAAAAGCUGCUUUCCAUUGGCCAAAAGUUCUUGCUCAGCAGGGUUUCCCCUCUUCUCCUGUCCCUGGGCUUAUUUCUGGGAGCUAGACCUCUCAAUGUCUGCCAAGUCAGCACUGCUGAUUGGUGGGGUGUGGCUCCCACUGGAGCUGCACAUCUCAGCCCAAUGCUGGGCACACAGUAGGUGCUCAAUAAAUGUUCACUGAAUAUGGAAUGAAAGUCCCCGUCAGGUAAAAUCCUGACUGGUUUGAAGAUUUUCUGGGUGGGAGCAUGGAGAGCCCCAAGACCUCCUGACUGCCCCAGGAAGUGGAUAAGACCUGAUUUAUCUCAAGCAUUUCUCAUUUGUUCUCUUUAAUUCCAGUCCCCUUACCCCUGUUUUUAUUUUUAUUUUUUAUCCAUUUUCUAAGGCAGGAUCCUAUCCUGCUCACUCCAGCAAAGGGAAAGGGCUCACCUAGAAGUCAAUUGAAUAUAUGCUGUGGCUGGCUUCCCAGACUUUUCCCCAUGAGACCCAGAUUCUUCAAGCUAAAAGGAGUUUGAACCUGAAAUGAGCCAGAUAAUUGCCCCAAUUCUCUGUUCCUUAUUGAAGAGGUAGUUACAGGCCAAGGGGUUCAAGGGGCCUCACUUUUAUAGACAUUGCUCUAAGUCAAAAGAAUACACUAUACACAUGCAGGCUGAGACUCACACCCUCCAACCUAGACUGGUUCUCUGAGAACAAAGCAGGCUUCCUCCUCCUCCCCCUUCUGCCGCUGCCGCCGCCGCCUCCUCCUCCUCCUCCUCCUCCUCUUCCUCCUCCUCCUCCUCCUCCUCUUCCUCUUCCUCCUCCUCCUCCUCCUCCUCAAUAGCUACCAUUUACUAAAUGCUCUCUGUGCACCAGGAAUUGUACUAGAUCCUAGGCACACAGGACACUAAUCAAUCAUUACAAAAAGACUUAAGAGUUAAGAUAUCCAGAUUUUUCAGGCACAGAAACAGUUUUCCAAUCACCCGGGUGUGUGUGUGUGUGUGUGUUCGGUAAGGUUGAUGUGAUACUGGCAGAUCUAAAUGUUCAAGGGUAUAACGAGAUGGAAAUAAAAUGGAGAAUGAGAAGAUCUUAAAAAGUUUUGAAAUAUAGAAUGUUUUAAUAGAAGGCAAAUAGUUUCUCCUGCCCUAAAGUGAACAAAGAAGUGAGGCAAUUAACUGGCUAAUUCCUAGACCCAAAUGCUUUCCCUUGAAAUGGGCGGAUAAUGAGGCUGACAGUAUGUUCGCAGUUGAAUUCGCCUGAUGUUACUCCAUUUUCCUCCCAACUUUUGCGAAUCCAUUGGGCAAUCACAGUGAGACGCACAGACGCCGCGCGGUCGCGCGCACACGCACACACAGGAAUGCUGACACACACAGACCCGACUUUAUUCUGCCUCCAGAGUCUUUUAUGACUCAGCCUUGGGAAUGAAAAUAGGGUUUGGAGGGAAAUAAUGGGCCCAAGGCCGGGUGGGGCACAGCUGCUCCAGAUGUGCACGCAGUAAUUAGGCGUCCAUGAGAACUGCUGCCCGGCUGGGAAGGGAGCAUCUCCUGGGACUGAAGACCCCGGCAAGCCCAUCGCUGUAGUUGGCCUAUAGUAGACAUGCUCUUUGCUGCCCCGCCCCAGCGUCCCGCUGGGCCUCUCUCCUUUUCCUCCCCUACUGGGGAUUCUCUGGAUCCUCUCCCCUAGGAAUAAUUUAAGCAGAGAGCUUUAGGGCUCCGCCAUGUAAAAUGGCGCCUGUGCCUUGGGUGAAGGGAUCCAGGGGACCUUGAUUUCUCCCAUGCAGUGUUUCCCAGGUCCUGGAUGACUCUGAGCACAGACCCAGAGUUGUUGAGUCCCAGGGAAGGGCUCUCAUGUUUUGCUCCACCUAGGACUUAACAGAGGUCUCAUUUAGGCCAAGAAGAAUAGUGACCUGCCACCAACCCUAAUUGUCCCUGUUUUUUUGAGUUUAUGAAGCAGUCCUAUAGCCAACAUUUUAUUUUAAUUAUCAGGACCUCUUAUUCAAAGCUCACAAUAUCCCUGUCCAAUAGGUCUUUUUCAUUAGGGCCUUUGAAAGGCUGAAAACACUCAUCCAGUAUCACACAGUUAGGAAAGUUAUAAACUGGCCAUUUCCUGGAAGGGAGGGGACUGGAUUUGUCAUGGUUCCGAGUCCUGGCUGAGCUGCCCCUGUAUCGGCCUCCACUUUUCUUAUGCAGUGCCCACAAUAUGCCCCCCAAGCCCCCACACUUCCAACAAAGACAACCCCCAAAGGCUGUCUUUCCAGAAAUGAAUUAUCAGAAAAACAAGUUUGUUGGGGUGGCUGGUUGUCAUAAUUUGGAGGAAGAAAAUUCCAUUCGAAGUGGAGGUCACAUCCUCUGCUUCACCACUUUAUUAAAAGCUGCUCUGAUCUUGGGCUAAACACUUAAUUUCUUCGAACCCCAGUGUCGUCUUCUGCAAGUUGAGGGAGGGAGUUAAAGUCGCUGGCGCUGCCCUGCAGCCGGCUGCUGGGGAGAUCAAAGAAGAUUCGGGGUCUGGAAGGCUCCCUAGCGUCGGGGAUGGGGCUGGGUGGGGGGGGGUGGGUAGGGGCCGGUGGGUCCUUGAUUAGUUGUGAUUCCUUUUCCAGCCCGCACUCUUUUAAUCUUGUUUCUCUUGCUUGGCAGAGGGCGCCAAAGGCGACGCGCCGGCGGCCAACUCCAGGCCAAGCCCAGUGCGUCGGCAGAAACCGGCCCUUUCACCCAGCACCGAACACAGAGCUGCCGGAGGAUUUGUGCCUGGAGGACUCAACGCCAGGGCGCCGCCUAGAGGUCGGUCGCGGCCUCAGCCUCACUCGCCCGCCACAACAGAGCUGCUUCCCAAGCCGCCGCCAGAAAUGGCAAAAACAAAAGAAAACAAAUUUUAGCUUGGAUCAGGGACUGGGCUACGGUUCUCUGAAACUACCUCCCCUCCUC
rnacentral:lncRNA from 1 species